rnacentral:rRNA from 1 species
AGCAGUAGCCGCGGGAAAACAGAGGGUGCGAGCGUUAAUCGGAUUUACUGGGCGUAAAGCGUGCGUAGGCGGCUUUUUAAGUCGGAUGUGAAAUCCCUGAGCUUAACUUAGGAAUUGCAUUCGAUACUGGGAAGCUAGAGUAUGGGAGAGGAUGGUAGAAUUCCAGGUGUAGCGGUGAAAUGCGUAGAGAUCUGGAGGAAUACCGAUGGCGAAGGCAGCCAUCUGGCCUAAUACUGACGCUGAGGUACGAAAGCAUGGGGAGCAAACAGGAUUAGAUACCCCGGUAGUCCCUGUCUCUUAUAC